rnacentral:lncRNA from 1 species
CCCGCCGCCAGCUCCGCGUCCGAGCCCCCAGCCGCUGCCUCUUUGUCUGCACCCGGGACGCCGCUCUGGAGAAACGAACCUCAGACCCCCGGCGCGCCCGCCAUCCAGCUCUCAGAUCCCAGAGAGGACCGGGAUGGGGAAGAAGGUGCGAGGAAACCCGAGAGGCCUGGACCAAGGGGCUUCUCAUCAUCUCGAUCCAGGGUGAGAAAUCCUUUGAAAUAAGCUCGGAGGAGCUGCCCACAGCUGGUUAACUUUAGGGAGCGUCCUCUCUGCCCUCCUCGCCCUCCAAGUAAGACCCAGGGUGAGCAACCUCUGGGGAAAGCACUGCAGCAAAUGAAGCUUGAGAAGGACCAUCUCCUCCCUCCCCUUCCCUCCAGGGAAAGACCGAGAGUUUAAAAAUCCCUUGAAACAAACCCAACACUUGCUCCGUCAGUUUGAGAAAAGCCUUUUAUUCGCCUCAG